rnacentral:lncRNA from 1 species
AGCUGGAAGAUUCAGUCCCCGUCUUUGCAUCUGUGAGCCGAACUGAAGAGGAGACUCUUUCCUUGGAUCCUGAGGUGGUGAGUGGAGUAACUCCUUCCUUGGUUCUAUGGAGGACUUUAACUCUUACCCUUCAAGAACCAAAAAGAGAAUUGUUGAGAAGGCACUUUCACUGGUGUUCUGAAAGACCUGAAUGAUAUCCAAGUAUCAGCGACCAUAAAAGCAACCUUGUGAGGGAGAAAGAACAUGUUUUGUUAUUGCCAUUAUUCAAUCGAGGAAAAUAAAACGAGGAGGUGUAAAGUGAUUUGUCCAUACAAGCAAUUUGUAAGUGUAUCAAUGCAUUAUGGUGUGGAAGCUGCUGGAUUCCUGCGGUGUUUCAUUCAUGACAACGGUGAUGGCUAUUUGAUAACAGUAUUAAGCUCCAGAAAUGGGAAAUGACUACAAGACCAUACACACAUAAUCAACAUAAAUGAAGGAUCACUAAAGGCAAUCCAGAAAUUCAACAGCUGCUUAACUGCUGACUAUAUUACUACAUUCAGGAUGUUCCACUACCAAAGAAGAAGGCAAUCUUGCUUUACAGUCCCACCCAGAGUGCUGACUUCCACUUGAGUUGUAUCCAAUCAUGGUUUUUAUUGUAAAGGAAACCCAUGAAAUUCCAUCCAAGGAGAGCUGCUCUGAGGAUGGAUGGUUAUUCUCCUUGGCAUCACAUUACUGAUUAAAGUAAGCUGGAUUCUCCUGCCUACCUCUCUUACAAAGCUCAGUCAUUUAAGGUAGUUGAAUUCUCUGUUAAAACUUUGCAAGUUGAUUAAUAGUCAAAUUAUAAAGAAUCUUCAUCUGCACCAACUUAAUGCAAUGUUGCAUAUUUUAUUCUGUUUUUCUAUGUCUCUUAACCCCCAAAAGAAAGAGAAAACUUCCAUCUCAACUCUAUUUCUGGGAGAUACAAUCCUAAAUUGAUCCAGUGAUAUCCUUGUUUCUCUUGGCACACCAUUCUAGCUAUUCUGAGUCCUAGUCCUAUGAAGAUAAACUGAUGAUAAGUCUUAAGCUGUCAUAGAGAAGGAAAUCCAUAUACCUAGUUACCAUUUAAUCAUUGUGACAAGAUUUAUUCUGACAUAUUGCCUUUCCAAUUAGGAAAAAAAAUAGGAAAAUGUACUAAGGACCAAUGAAUGAAUAUAUUUUUCCUGACAAACUUUCACUUCAAUCCUUCCUAGUCUAUGAAUGGAGACAAUGACUAAUAAUCUCUUCUGUCCUUUUUGUGGGGGAAAGGGGUAUGGAUGCUUUCAGCUCCUGAAGAGGAACUGUUUUCAUCCUUAAUUGAUUAUGGGGAAAUGAGGCAUUUAAAGAAUUUCAAAUUCAACUCUGUUUUUUUUCCAGUUGCUAAUUUAACCCUGGAAAUGAACUAAGGCUGGAGGAUUCUUGUCCUAAUCUUAGAUAGCCAUAGUCUUCCCUUCUUCAUUGAGU